AAGGGUUAGGGGUAGGUGUAGGGUUCGGGUUAGGGGUAGGGGUAGAUUUAGGGAAUUAGGGAAUUUUAACCCCCUCCCCGACCUUCCUCUAACCCUACCCCUAACCCUAACCCUACCAUUAACUCUACCACUAACUCUACCCCUACCCUUAAUCCGAACCCUACCCAUUCCCCUAUCCCU